rnacentral:tRNA from 1 species
GGGUGUAUAGCUCAGUUGGUAGAGCAGCUGACUCUUAAUCAGCGGGUCCUAGGUUCGAGCCCUAGUACACCCA